GGAGGAUGCAAGCGUUAUCCGGAUUCAUUGGGUUUAAAGGGUGCGCAGGUGGGAAAAUAAGUCAGUGGUGAAAUACUGCCGCUUAACGGUAGAAUUGCCAUUGAUACUGUUUUUCUUGAGUAUGGUUGAGGUAGGUGGAAUGUGUUGUGUAGCGGUGAAAUGCAUAGAUAUGACACAGAACGCCGAUUGCGAAGGCAGCUUACUAAGCCAUUACUGACGCUGAGGCACGAAAGCGUGGGGAUCGAACAGGAUUAGAUACCCUGGUAGUCCACGCCGUAAACGAUGAUCACUCGCUGUUUGCGAUAUACAGCAAGCGGCUGAGCGAAAGCAUUAAGUGAUCCACCUGGGGAGUACGAUCGCAAGGUUG
rnacentral:rRNA from 1 species